UGUCGAACGUGAUCCAUUAGCAAUAGUGGUGAAAGUGGCGAACGGGUGAGUAACACGUAAGUAACCUGCCCUGAAGUGGGGGAUAACGACUGGAAACGGUCGCUAAUACCGCAUAAGUCCAUCGAAGCGGGAGUGAGAUGGAGAAAACUGAGGUGCUUCAGGAGGGGUCUGCGUCCGAUUAGCUAGUUGGUGGGGUAAAGGCUCACCAAGGCGACGAUCGGUAGCUGGUCUGAGAGGACGAUCAGCCACACAGGAACUGAGACACGGUCCCGACUCCUACGGGGGGCAGCAGUGAGGAAUAUUGGGCAAUGGGCGGAAGCCUGACCCAGCAACGCCACGUGAAGGAUGAAGGCCUUCGGGUUGUAAACUUCUUUUAUGGGGGAAGAGAGAGGACGGUACCCCAGGAAUAAGUCACGGCUAACUACGUGCCAGCAGCCGCGGUAAUACGUAGGUGACAAGCGUUAUCCGGAAUUACUGGGCGUAAAGCGCACGCAGGCGGCUGCUUAAGUCUGACGUGAAAUCUCCUGGCUUAACUGGGAGGGGUCGUUGGAAACUGAGUAGCUUGAGGCAGUGAGAGGGGUGUAGAAUUCCCGGUGUAGUGGUGGAAUGCGUAGAUAUCGGGAGGAAUACCAGAGGCGAGGGCGACACCCUGGCACUGACCUGACGCUCAUGUGCGAAAGCGUGGGGGAGCGAACGGGAUUAGAUACCCCGGUAGUCCACGCUGUAAACGAUGAGUACUAGGUGUAGGUGGAGUGAAAUCCGUCUGUGCCGAAGCAAACGCGCUAAGUACUCCGCCUGGGGAGUACGGCCGCAGGGCUAAAACUCAAAGGAAUUGACGGGGGCCUGCACAAGCAGCGGAGCGUGUGGUUUUAAUUCGAUGCAACACGAAGAACCUUUACCUGGGGUUUGGACAUUGU
rnacentral:rRNA from 1 species